ensembl:lncRNA
ACGCGCGCACCUGCCCGGGGUGAGGCCGCUGCUGGCAGGGCAGCUACUCGCCGCCCCUCCAAGGGACGCUCCAGCCUCAGCGCCGCGGGGGAGGCUGGCCGGGGCCCUCAGGCCUGCGUGGAUUUCCUCCCCACUGGCUGUCUCCGCCGGCCCAGGUUUAGCCCUCAGGUGCCGGUUCCCACGGACUGGCUUCUGCCCUAGUGAGCUGUGGCUCUGCCCGGGUGAGCUGUGACUCUGCAUCUGAACUUGGAGAAUGCCUAGGAGGCUCGAGUUUUUCUACAAACAAGAGGCAAGCGGAGGACGUGAGGGCAUCUGUCCUGGAAAGGCCCCAAAGGGUGCUACUCAGUU